rnacentral:rRNA from 1 species
AUUGAACGCUGGCGGCAUGCCUUACACAUGCAAGUCGAACGGCAGCACGGGUGCUUGCACCUGGUGGCGAGUGGCGAACGGGUGAGUAAUACAUCGGAACAUGUCCUGUAGUGGGGGAUAGCCCGGCGAAAGCCGGAUUAAUACCGCAUACGCUCUACGGAUGAAAGCGGGGGACCUUCGGGCCUCGCGCUAUAGGGUUGGCCGAUGGCUGAUUAGCAAGUUGGUGGGGUAAAGGCCUACCAAGGCGACGAUCAGUAGCUGGUCUGAGAGGACGACCAGCCACACUGGGACUGAGACACGGCCCAGACUCCUACGGGAGGCAGCAGUGGGGAAUUUUGGACAAUGGGCGAAAGCCUGAUCCAGCAAUGCCGCGUGUGUGAAGAAGGCCUUCGGGUUGUAAAGCACUUUUGUCCGGAAAGAAAUCCUUGGCCCUAAUACGGUCGGGGGAUGACGGUACCGGAAGAAUAAGCACCGGCUAACUACGUG